rnacentral:lncRNA from 1 species
GUCUUCAGUCCAUGCAGGGGGUGGGGUGGGGGGAGCGCGGUGGUGAUCAAUGGGCCUAGUCCAGAAGACUCUGUCUGUAUGUCCCAUAGGGAGGUCACAAAGAAGUCCUUAUUGAGGGCAGAUAUCUGGACUCACCACAUUCAGUAACUGGGAGAGAGCUGAGAACUGGAAAUUUGUGGGCUGAACAGAGAUAACUUGUACAAGGUGGAACCAGAAGUAUGAAGAGCCUGGGCCCUUGAGUAAUCACACUGAGAAACAGUAUGACCAGGAACACCCCACUGAAAUCUGACCUACACCUGAAAUAUUUUUAUGUUAAACCAUUGAGAUUUCAAGUAUCUAUUAAAGCAGUUAUCAUUUACUUAAUUCACCGCAUAUCUACAGUAUCUCCCUGUCUUCUCUUUAGUAACUAAUGUUCCAGGUAUGUUGGGCAAAAGCAAUUGGCAUAUGGGG